CAAUUCCUCUACAGAUUUAUCAUCUAGAAAUUGAAUCUAAAUUAAAAGUACUUAUCAAAGAAUUUUCAUUAGAAGCAAAAAUGCUAGGUUCACGCUAGUUCAUGCUAUAAAUACUUGCAUGAUAUGAUAGAAUAACCUAAGUGCUUUAUCACAUACAUGACAUAACAAUAAAGAAAUAACUAUGUUAUCAAUAUAUUAACUGAUGCGAUAUCAACCACUAAAUCAACUGCUACUUGAGAGAGUUGAUUACCACUUUCACUGCAAAAAGGAAUCAAUUGAAAUUCAUCCAAUUAAUGAAUCCUAUAUUUCAGCAUAGUCAAAAACUUCAAAGUGAUCAGGUGCACUAUUAAAAACCAGAGGCAAAUUGAAUAUCAGAAUCUCACUACUCAAUUAAUGAUCUUUCAGGAGACGUACACCACUUGAGAACAAUGAAAGAUGCAAGGACAAAUAUUCUAUUACAAUUUAUAAAACGGUUUAGCAGGAACAUUUCAAGCACACAAUAAAUAGUUGCCUAGAUUAAACUAAGGGCCUGUUUGAUAUUGCUAUUGAAAUUGCUAUCGAGAAAAUCA
rnacentral:misc_RNA from 1 species